CGCAGUUGACGGAGAAGAAGCUGGCGACCUCCAUGCGGGAGAUCAAGGUGCAGAAGCUUGUCUUCGACAUCUCCGUUGGUGCUGGAGCUGCUGACCGGACAGUCACCGGUGUUCUCCAAGGGUGCAUCAUUUCACGUCACAUCCAUUUUGUUUAUUGACAGUAUGCAAAGGUUUUACAAGA